rnacentral:rRNA from 1 species
GACGUUACCUACAGAAGAAGCACCGGCUAAACUCCGUGCCAGCAGCCGCGGUAAUACGGAGGGUGCGAGCGUUAAUCGGAAUUACUGGGCGUAAAGCGCAUGCAGGCGGCCUGUUAAGUCAGAUGUGAAAGCCCGGGGCGUUAACCUCGGAAUUGCAUUUGAAACUGGCAGGCUAGAGUCUUGUAGAGGGGGGUAGGAAUUUCAGGUGUAGCGGUGAAAUGCGUAGAGAUCUGAAGGAAUACCAGUGGCGAAGGCGGCCCCCCUCGGACAAAGACUGACGCUCAGACUGCGAAAGCGUGGGGAGCCAAACAGGAUUAGAUACCCCUGGUAG